rnacentral:rRNA from 1 species
CAGUAGCCGCGGUAAAACGGAGGGUGCAAGCGUUAAUCGGAAUUACUGGGCGUAAAGCGCACGCAGGCGGUCUGACAAGUCAGAUGUGAAAUCCCCGGGCUUAACCUGGGAACUGCAUUUGAAACUGUCAGGCUGGAGUCUUGUAGAGGGGGGUGGAAUUCCAGGUGUAGCGGUGAAAUGCGUAGAGAUCUGGAGGAAUACCGGUGGCGAAGGCGGCCCCCUGGACAAAGACUGACGCUCAGGUGCAAAAGCGUGGGGAGCAAACAGGAUUAGAUACCCCGGUAGUCCCUGUCUCUUAUAC